GUGGGGAAUCUUAGACAAUGGGGGAAACCCUGAUCUAGCCAUGCCGCGUGAUCGAUGAAGGCCUUAGGGUUGUAAAGAUCUUUCAGGUGGGAAGAUAAUGACUGUACCACCAGAAGAAGCCCCGGCUAACUCCGUGCCAGCAGCCGCGGUAAUACGGAGGGGGCUAGCGUUGUUCGGAAUUACUGGGCGUAAAGCGCACGUAGGCGGAUUGGAAUGUUGGGGGUGAAAUCCCGGGGCUCAACCCCGGAACCGCCUUCAAAGCUCCCAGUCUUGCGUUCGAGAGAGGUGAGUGGAAUGCCGAGUGUAGAGGUGAAAUUCGUAGAUAUUCGGAGGAACACCAGUGGCGAAGGCGGCUCACUGGCUCGAUACUGACGCUGAGGUGCGAAAGCGUGGGGAGCAAACAGGAUUAGAAACCCGUGUAGUCC
rnacentral:rRNA from 1 species